UACUUUACUGAGAGGGUAGUGGAUGCAUGGAAUAGCCUUCCAGCUGAAGUGGUAGAGGUUAACACAGUAAAGGAGUUUAAGCAUGCGUGGGAUAGGCAUAAGGCUAUCCUAACUAUAAGAUAAGGCUAGGGACUAAUGAAAGUAUUUAGAAAAUUGGGCAGACUAGAUGGGCCGAAUGUUUCUAUGUUUCUAUGUAACUCUGUUCCGCAGGGUAGCUGUUGACAUUAUAGUUGCGCAGGCACUUUGUUGACUCUAGAGAACCUCGGGACAAUCGCACAUCCCUGUGACGGCGACUUUGCAUUUGGAUGUCAUCCUUAUCAACUUUCGAUGCCAGUUUCUGCGCCUACCAUGGGGACCACGGGUAACGGGGAAUCAGGGUUCCAUUCCAUACAGGGACCCCGAGAAACGACUACCACAUGCAAGGAAGGCAGCAGGCGCGCAAAUGACCAACUCCCGACGCGGGAAGGUAGUGACGACAAAUAACAAUACAGGACUCUUUAGAGGUCCUGUAAUUGUAAUGAGUCCACUUGAAAUCCUUUAAUUCUGAUCAAUUGGAGGGAAGUCUGAUGCAGAGCCACUGACCCGUGAGUG